AUCGGUUUUGGCUAAUUUACCAGUGGCUUUAGCAAAGUCUCUUCCUUGACGGGGAUUGAUUAAGGCUACAGGUAAAUCCGCUUCUUGUAAUUGAAUCACCAGUUCAGUUUCUCAACCUCAUGUCGCUUCCAGAACGAUGAGGUUGACAGUGUAGGAUUUUAGGGUUUCGACCAGUUUAGAUAUGUCCUCCUUUGUGUUAGCAACUUUCAUCGCUUUACCCAUCGGACGGAGGUAAACAUCUAGGGUCGCUUUACUAAUGUCAAUGCCUACCCAUUGAGAGAUAUUUUCCAUGAUUGAACCUAACUAAAGCAAGCAGAAUUGAUGGUUAUUUUGGAGAGCAUCCCCUUGAUUUUACUCAUCCUUGCCCGAUACGGUCUCUUAGCUUAACAAUUGAUUGUUUUCGCCACGACCCCGGCGACUGUUCGAGUUUUGUCAGGGAGAUU
rnacentral:rRNA from 1 species